rnacentral:misc_RNA from 1 species
UCGAAUUUUGAAAGGGGUUGUAGCUGGUCUUUCACGAGGCAUGUGCACACCCUGCUCAUCCAUUCUACACCUGUGCACAUUCUGUAGGUCGGUUUGAGUGGUUCUCUCAGGGGAGCUGUUUGGCCUUCCUAUGUUUUUAUUAUACACACUUUAAGUCAAAGAAUGUAAUCUGCGUCUAACGCAUCUUAUA